UGGUGCUGUGUGGGGGGAUUGUUCUCUGCUUACAGAUGAAGCACGAUGGCUUUAAAGACGAUGUCCAAAACUCAGACUUGCUGUGAAAACAACCAGUGACUCCUUAAAGGAGAGGCAUAUGCAACUGGCCUAUGAUUUUGCCCCAUCCAAAAGAUGUUAACUCACAACUCAGGAGAGAGUAACUGUUAUUGGGAAUCGGAGAUGAUGCUCUGAAUCAAGGAAGGGCCAAUUCUUGUUUCUGCACCAAAAUCCCUUACGCCCUAUGAUCAGAACUCUGGUCAAAGUUUACGAAGUUUGAGACCGCAGAGUGGAGAGAAAUGCAAAGCAGCUUGUGAGCUCAGAGGUGUGAAACUGAAGGUGCAGAAGACCAAAUCUGAUCUGUCAGGUCAGCUUUGUCUGCUGAGAUUAAACUCGCAUGAAAUCAGGAAACUCAGCUAUACAGUGUUUGGACUUCAGAAAAUCUAGAAGGACCUGUGAAUAUCAUCACUAAUGCUGAGGGAACCGGAUACUGUGGGAAAGAGGAAUCUGUGUGCCUUAUGUGAAACCUGACAUGGCCCUGAGAAGCCCAAGUUCUGACCUUCUUGUACCGUUGUUUUUGUGGAUGUCUGAAGGAUGGUGUGCAAGGUCUUGUUCCCCAUCCACCUCCAAAAGAAGUGAUGGCAAUUGUGGUGCUAAAGUCACCCAAGCAGUUGUGAAGCUCAUUCAGGCCUCUUCCCUAUUGCAGCCAUAGCUGUGUUACUGAGGAGCAGAGGGCAGCUGAGUCUGACAGAAAACACUGCAGGAAAAAUAGGCAGUGGUUCCAAUUUAGGGCUGCUCUUGUAACUUAGUGCACACUGGCAGAUUAAAACUUAAUGCUGACAAUGCAGAAAGGAGCCGUGCUCACCUAUCACCUUGCUGAGGCCUGGGUUUUCAAGCAGCUGCUCUACCCCUGCUUGGGCACAGGAGCUUUACAGAUUAUAUCAAUUGCCAGACUAUGUGCUUGCCAAGCAUUCUGGAAUAAGCUCUUUGUGUUUAAAGAUUUUUAUUUUUUUUUUCCUGGAGUUCAUGGUCAGAAACCUGCUAGGUUCAAAGCUUAGUCCUCUGAAUACCAGGCUUUUUCAUCAGCAUAAGUCUGGUCAAGCACUUAAAUGCAUGCUUAAGUUUUAGUGCAUGCCUAAUAGAGUUAUAAACAGCUUCAGGAGUGUCCUCUGCUGCCCUGCUGAACAGACACAGACCGAAGUGUAAAUGUAGUUGUCUCACUGAAUCAGAGCACACUGCUAACAUGCUCGCACCAGCUAAGACAGCAGUGCACUGCCUGUGUUAACAAGGUGAGAUUUCAGAGUGACAUCAGAGGACACAGAGACCUCUUUUUAUUAGUGCUUGCUGCACCAUGACAUAGCUGCAAAGCAAGAGACUGAGCUGGAGCAGGAGGAUCCUGAAACACAGCCUGGAAGGGUCUGGGCCUUUUGAAUCUCUGCUCGCCUUCUGUGCAGGCACACAGUGCAGAGGGUUUCUUCUUGUGUGUGCCAUCACACACCUCACUUUCUCAUGGUAUGACAAAUAGGCUACCAAGAGCAGAAAGUAGGACAUUUGGCCUCUCUCCUCUAUGGGAGGUGCAAUGCAGAUUGGCUUCCUGAGAACUAGGACAGCACCUCUGAAAGUAGAGCAGCUGGUCACCCUGUUUGCAUGUGCCUUACCUUAUAAACGUAUCCUUCAAAGCUCAUGCUGUGAGAGGCAUUUUUGGCCCAUUUAGGGAAGUGUUUUCUCAAAAUAGGGGCGAAUACACUGGAACUGGCCAAAACCUUUGCUUUCCAUUUGGAGUGAAGUCAGAGCUGCAUUCAGGGGGUGCACUGCAUUGUUUCUUGUGUAUAGAGUGGCAGCACAGUGGUGAGGCAUUUGAUUUUCAGCAGCAGGACAUGGACAGAUGACAUUGCCCUGCAGUGUUAGAUGAUGCUUUACUGCAACAAGGAACUGUUAUGAAGUCAAACUUCUAUAUGUGCGCAUGUGCUUUUAACUAUGUUUGAUCAGAAGCGAAAAUGUGACUUUCACUUAAGAUAUCUUGAGAAAGUUGAUUCAUUGCCCUUCACUGAGUUCCUUCUCCAAGUGCAAUCAGGUGCAUAAUGCAUGCAACAUUGCUGGGGUGCUAGCAAUGCUAGGCGGAUGGCAGCACACUGAACUGGUCAGCAGGAUGCACCUGGGAAAUGAACAGCAGUCAAUGUUAGUAAACAGCAGCACAGGGGUGCAAGCCAGGUCAGCUGGCAUGGCUCUUGGAAAGGCACUGCUGUCCUUACUUGGGCACAGCCAUUGCUGUUUUCAGACCACUGCAGUCUACAGUAAUCUCAUGUGGGAGCCUCACCUUGAACCAGAGGUCUCGCAGGCUGGCUGUGCAGUGCUGAAGUCUGGAUUCACACUUCUGGGAUCUGUCAUCCUGAAGGCAGAGGCAACUCGGAGGACUUCCAGCCACCAGGGCCAAAGUCUCGCUGGCACUGUCCUACUGGCAUGUCCCUGGUGGAACUAUGCUGGAGGUCACUGCGUAUCAAACGGGGAUGAUCCAUGCUCAGGUGAAUGCAUGCUUUUCCAAGUAAAAGCAAGGCUGCUUGAUGCCGGCGAGAAACAUGUGGCUGUCCAACAUAUUGCCUGAAAUCCACAAAAGGAAUCAUUGGUACCUGAGGGAAGGCAGAGAGUUGUGUUAGUUGUGGCUGUCACAGCUAACAGUUGCAUUGAGGCAUAAGCAACGAUGUCUACAGCAGCCAACAGGAAACAUUUGACAGACCAGGAGAUUAGAGAGGAGGUUACCAUCAAGGUAAGAGAGGAGAAAGCGUGAGUUUGUGGAUAUGCUGUGCAUAUAUGUGCAUAUAUGCAUAGCUGUGGUAUUGCUAUGUAAGCUGCAAGAGGAAACCCUUAACAACAGAUUCCCAAAAGCUUGCUAUACGAUGUCACUUCUGUCAGGGGAAUAACACCAAGUAGGCUGCUGCAAGCAAAUAAUAAAACUACCUCAUUUUAUU